rnacentral:rRNA from 1 species
AUUGAACGCUGGCGGCAGGCCUAACACAUGCAAGUCGAGCGAGCGGCGGACGGGUGAGUAAUGUAUGGGGAUCUGCCCGAUAGAGGGGGAUAACUACGGGAAACUGUAGCUAAUACCGCGUACCAUAGGAUGAGCCCAAGUGGGAUUAGGUAGUUGGUGAGGUAAAGGCGCACAAAGCCGACGAUUUCUAGCUGGUCGGAGAGGAUGACCAGCCACACUGGGACGGAGACACGGCCCAGACGCCUACGGGAGGCAGCAUUGGGGAAUAUUGCGCAAUGGGGGCAACCCUGACGCAGCCAUGCCGCGUGAAUGAAGAAGGCCUUCGGGUUGUAAAGUUCUUUCAGUCGGGAGGCGUUACCGACAGAAGAAGCACCGGCUAACUCCGUGCCAGCAGCCGCGGUAAUUC